AAUCAACGCUGGCGGCGUGCCUCAGACAUGCAAGUCGAACGCGAAAGUUUCCUUCGGGGGAUGAGUAGAGUGGCGCACGGGUGAGUAACACGUAGGUAAUCUACCUUUGGAUGGGGAAUAACAAUCGGAAACGGUUGCUAAUACCGCAUAAUGCAGCGGCACCUAAUGGUGACAGUUGUUAAAGCGGGGGAUCGAAAGACCUCGCGUCUGAAGAGGAGCCUGCGGCGGAUUAGCUAGUUGGUAAGGUAACGGCUUACCAAGGCGACGAUCCGUAGCCGGCCUGAGAGGGCGGUCGGCCACACUGACACUGACAUACGGGUCAGGACUCCUACGGGAGGCAGCAGUCGGGAAUUUUGGGCAAUGGGCGAAAGCCUGACCCAGCAACGCCGCGUGAAGGAUGAAA
rnacentral:rRNA from 1 species